rnacentral:rRNA from 1 species
GAUGAACGCUGGCGGCGUGCCUAAUACAUGCAAGUCGAGCGAACAGACGAGGAGCUUGCUCCUCUGACGUUAGCGGCGGACGGGUGAGUAACACGUGGAUAACCUACCUAUAAGACUGGGAUAACUUCGGGAAACCGGAGCUAAUACCGGAUAAUAUAUUGAACCGCAUGGUUCAAUAGUGAAAGACGGUUUUGCUGUCACUUAUAGAUGGAUCCGCGCCGCAUUAGCUAGUUGGUAAGGUAACGGCUUACCAAGGCAACGAUGCGUAGCCGACCUGAGAGGGUGAUCGGCCACACUGGAACUGAGACACGGUCCAGACUCCUACGGGAGGCAGCAGUAGGGAAUCUUCCGCAAUGGGCGAAAGCCUGACGGAGCAACGCCGCGUGAGUGAUGAAGGUCUUCGAAUCGUAAAACUCUGUUAUUAGGGAAGAACAAAUGUGUGAGUAACUAUGCACGUCUUGACGGUACCUAAUCAGAAAGCCACGGCUAACUACGUG